UACGUCGUGGCCUAUUGCGCCGGUAGGUUUCUUCCCGGUGGAUCCUGAUGGUCGGCCCAAGGCUUCUUCCCGGUGGGGCCUGAUGGUCGGCCCAGCCCGUUCUGGCGCAGGCGAGUGUUUAUAGUGGCGCCAUCUUGCAUUGGCUCAUGCUGCCCUCCCGGAGCUCAUCUUUAAUCCUAGAAUCUAGAGUCCGGGUUGAUGGGUGGUCUUCUGGACAGCAUGUGGGUAGUUUUAAGCCACUCGGCGGCGGCUGAAAAAUCCCAGCUUGGUGGCACCGGGCGGGGAUUGAACUCGCGUCGUCCUGAACGCGGCGCCGUCACGCUAUCCAUUCUCACGUCCCUCCUUACCCUCCACAGCCCCUCCACAGCGCCUUCCUCCAC